rnacentral:rRNA from 1 species
GAUGAACGCUGGCGGCGUGCCUAAUACAUGCAGGUCGAGCGAACGGACGAGAAGCUUGCUUCUCUGAUGUUAGCGGCGGACGGGUGAGUAACACGUGGAUAACCUACCUAUAAGACUGGGAUAACUUCGGGAAACCGGAGCUAAUACCGGAUAAUAUUUUGAACCGCAUGGUUCAAAAGUGAAAGACGGUCUUGCUGUCACUUAUAGAUGGAUCCGCGCUGCAUUAGCUAGUUGGUAAGGUAACGGCUUACCAAGGCAACGAUGCAUAGCCGACCUGAGAGGGUGAUCGGCCACACUGGAACUGAGACACGGUCCAGACUCCUACGGGAGGCAGCAGUAGGGAAUCUUCCGCAAUGGGCGAAAGCCUGAUGGAGCAACGCCGCGUGAGUGAUGAAGGUCUUCGGAUCGUAAAACUCUGUUAUUAGGGAAGAACAUAUGUGUAAGUAACUGUGCACAUCUUGACGGUACCUAAUCAGAAAGCCACGGCUAACUACGUG